AGAGUUUGAUCCUGGCUCAGGACGAACGCUGGCGGCGUGCUUAACACAUGCAAGUCACGGGGGCCCGCAAGGGCAACCGGCGAACGGGUGCGUAACACGUGAACAACCUGCCCUCGUGUGGGGGAUAGCCAUGCUAACGCGUGGGUAAUACCGCAUACGUUCCUCUGGGGGAGUCCCUGGGGGAGGAAAGCUCCGGCGCACGGGGAGGGGUUCGCGGCCUAUCAGCUAGUUGGCGGGGUAAUGGCCCACCAAGGCGACGACGGGUAGCUGGUCUGAGAGGAUGGCCAGCCACAUUGGGACUGAGAGACGGCCCAGACUCCUACGGGAGGCAGCAGUGGGGAAUCUUGCGCAAUGGCCGAAAGGCUGACGCAGCGACGCCGCGUGUGGGAUGAAGCAUUUCGGUGUGUAAACCACUGUUGCCCGGGACGAACCGGACCUUUAGAGGUCCCUGACGGUACCGGGUGAGGAAGCACCGGCUAACUCCGUGCCAGCAGCCGCGGUAAUACGGAGGGUGCGAGCGUUGUCCGGAAUCACUGGGCGUAAAGGGCGCGUAGGCGGCGCGGGAAGCGUGCGGUGAAAGCCCGGGGCUCAACCCCGGGUCGGCCGUGCGAACUCCCGGGCUCGAGCACUGUAGGGGCAGGCGGAAUUCCGGGUGUAGCGGUGGAAUGCGUAGAGAUCCGGAAGAACACCGGUGGCGAAGGCGGCCUGCUGGGCAGUGGCUGACGCUGAGGCGCGACAGCGUGGGGAGCAAACAGGAUUAGAUACCCUGGUAGUCCACGCCGUAAACGAUGGGCACUAGGUGCUCGGGGGAGCGACCCUCCGAGUGCCGGCGCUAACGCAUUAAGUGCCCCGCCUGGGGAGUACGGCCGCAAGGCUGAAACUCAAAGGAAUUGACGG
rnacentral:rRNA from 1 species